rnacentral:rRNA from 1 species
UACGAAGGGGGCUAGCGUUGCUCGGAAUCACUGGGCGUAAAGCGCACGUAGGCGGCUUCUUAAGUCGGUGGUGAAAUCCUGGAGCUCAACUCCAGAACUGCCUUCGAUACUGAGAGGCUUGAGUCCGGGAGAGGUGAGUGGAACUGCGAGUGUAGAGGUGAAAUUCGUAGAUAUUCGCAAGAACACCAGUGGCGAAGGCGGCUCACUGGCCCGGUACUGACGCUGAGGCACGAAAGCCAAGGGAGCAAACAGG